rnacentral:rRNA from 1 species
UCUCUGGGCAUUAACUGACGCUGAGGAGCGAAAGCUUGGGGAGCGAACAGGAUUAGAUACCCUGGUAGUCCAUGCCGUAAACGUUGGGCACUAGGUGUGGGGGACAUUCCACGUUCUCCGCGCCGUAGCUAACGCAUUAAGUGCCCYGCCUGGGGAGUANGG